rnacentral:rRNA from 1 species
CAGUCGCCGCGGGAACACAGAGGGUGCGAGCGUUAAUCGGAUUUACUGGGCGUAAAGCGUGCGUAGGCGGCUAAUUGAGUCGGAUGUGAAAUCCCCGAGCUUAACUUGGGAAUUGCAUUCGAUACUGGUUAGCUAGAGUGUGGGAGAGGAUGGUAGAAUUCCAGGUGUAGCGGUGAAAUGCGUAGAGAUCUGGAGGAAUACCGAUGGCGAAGGCAGCCAUCUGGCCUAAUACUGACGCUGAGGUACGAAAGCAUGGGGAGCAAACAGGAUUAGAUACCCCUGUAGUCCCUGUCUCUUAUAC